UAGGGACCAGGCCCGGGGAGCCUUGCCCAGCUCCUCCCUGGGUUUAGCGCCCAGGCCGAUGGGUUCGGGGGCCGAAACCCGCAUAUCGACUCACGCACUAGGCCAGGGGACACCGGUACCUCAAUGAAGACCGGUCCCCUGGGGCGUCCAUGCCGUAGUCGAUCAGCCGUAGGGCUGGUUGGCUACGGAACCCGGCGAACCGGGUUAGGCCCGGGAGGGAGCGGCCCUAAGUCGGGGUGGACGCGUUCAGGGGGUUGCCGGUUAGAGAAUGGGCCGGUGAAACCCCUGGUCUAGCGUGUGGGUUGAUAUGCGGGGUUGGGUCCCGU
rnacentral:SRP_RNA from 1 species